ACCCACUCCAGUAUUCUUGCCUGGAGACUCUGAUGGACAGAGGAGACUGGCGGGCUACAAUCUGUGGGGUUGCAAAGGGUCAGACAUGACUGAGCGACUAACACACACAAGCAUUUUCUGUGGAUCUCAUUUAAUCUUCACGAAAGCCCUUUGGGGCUUCAGAUCAGAAACAAUAUCAGAGGAUUGCAAAGAUAGAAAGUUGAGGGGUCAGAUGCAAAUGCAGACAGCUUGACCUGUGGUCCAAGGCCUAUGGUCCUAAUCUCCCUCCAUCCUGCCCAGCUUUCUCUCUACUGCUUUCUGUCUACAUCCACCUGGGUGCAAGGAGGCGUGUGCUUCAUCAGCAGUGAGCAAAUAACUGAGUUAAAAAUAACCUUAUCGUUUCUUGCUCUAGUUCUUGAAAGCAGUGGGUAUGAUCAUUUCAUUUUUAAAAGCCCUGUAUUCAGCUUUCUCGGUGCUCAAACAGGCACUGCUGUUUGCUUGCAAGGCACACGCUCCAGGCUUCCCAGAGCUAGAUGUGUGCUGCUCAUCUAAACCAGGAUGACUAUUCUCUUUCCUGUGCAAAUGUCUUUAAUCCAGCAGCUUCCUGCUGGGCUCCAGAAACUCCAAUCGCCCCAUACCUGGGAAGUUUGCUACAGAUGCAUUACAAGAGCCAGAUUUUAAAGUGCCUGCUAUUUGUUUUGCCUCUCACCUCCAAACAUAAUGCUUUGUUUGCAAGACAGUGACUGUUCCACAGCCAGUGAUUCCUCCAUCAUAAACACAUGGAAAAUGACUCUGGGAAUGUGGUGAGCAGCAGGAGACAGGAAUUGUGCUGCCAGCCCUUGCCGUGGGCUGUCCUGGCAUCAGAGCCCAGGCUGCAGGGCACUUGCCUCUCCGCCCACCUCUUGCUGCUCACCCAGGAGGCCCAGGCCAAAGCUUAAACCCAACAAAGGACUUAAACCCACAAAAGGACUUGCAUGUCUGCUUUUAACUCCAGUCCAGCUUUGGAGCUUGCUGUGGCUAUAUGGAAGGUCGGUGCCCAAGCCUGGGCAGGAACUGCCAGCUCCAUACAGGUAUCUGGGUCUGCACCCAGUGGGCGGUCUGUCAGGUGAGAUGAGUCUGCCAUCCUGUCCCAUCCUCGCCUGCAUCUCUGUGCAGCCGCAGUCACAGGCUCUCCAUGGACUGCUCUGGGUACCAGAGGUCUCUUCGGAAUGAUGCCUCCUUUGAAGAUAGCUGCGGGUUAUGUGAACGAAGUGCCAAGAGGCUGCCGGGAGAGAGAAGAGCCUGACUGGGCACAGAGCCAGGUCAAAAGGCAAAUCUACUGUCUCCAGUCCCUGCAACAAGGAGUGCCCAGAAAGCAGCAGUAAACCUAAGGGAACGGAGAACAUUCUGUAUAUUCUUCCAGGACUCCAUGGAGAAUCCUGAAGACCCCUUGAAGGCGAGCCUUAGCCCUGGUCUAGGGGUGGGCAUGUAACCUCGUUCUGGCUAAUUCUCAAUGUUUAUUAGAGGAAGUCACUGUGGAACACAUGGAAAGAUUUUCCUUUCCUGCUAAGAGGAAGCCAGAAGCGUUCACAGAUUGCUGGGUAUUGCUGGGAAGAGGAAUGGAGAAAAACACAGAGCACUGUCGCCCUCCACUCAGAGC
ensembl:lncRNA